ACAGCGCAAUGAAUAGCGUGCUGGACUUCUAAUCCAAAAAUCGUGGGUUUGAAUCCCACCUGGGCUG